CUGAGGAACAUGAGUGCAGUGAAGAAGUUUCCCAUGAAGAUGAGGGAUUUCUGGGCAUGUCCCCUCUCCUGCCAGCCCAUCACGCUAUGGAAAGAAUGGAAGAGUUUGUUUGUAAGGCCUGUUUAAAGAGCACUUCAGAAUACACACAGAGACAGGCAACAUCUGGACACAUCUCUUAAAUUGUUGCCAGCAAAGGAGAUUUUGAAAUGGUCACCAAAGAAAAGAAGUGGUCUAAAGUCGAUAGCUGCUUGGGAUAUCUGCCAGGAAAAGAAACUGGGUCUCUCUUCAAAGUCUCACUGUGAAGGAAUUCUCUACCCAUAUGAGCUGUUCCAGUCUGGUGUCAGUCUUAUGUGGGCAGCUUAUAUUGCGGAAAGAAACCUCGAAGACCUAAAGAAAGAAAACAUUUCUGAUAGGCAAAAGGAUUCCUCUCUGCACGUGGGACCUGAAGUGGCAUUAUGUCACGUACUACUCUCCUUCAUGCCCCCUUAGAGCCCAGGCUGAAGAGAAACUCACAGUCUUGCAAGAGAUGCAGCACAGACAUGUAGGGAAAACGUAGGAUUUUCAAGCCAGAGUUGCCGGAGUCAGAGGAUGGAAUGUGAACGGACGAAGCUCUGACACAGUUAUGCUUCCAAGUAACAGCAUCUUUUGAUGACUCUAUGAAGAACAAUCAUAUUAUCUCAAGUCCUAGUUUUGGUGUAUGAAGACUGCAGCCCAAACCAGCAGAACCUGGAGCCAAGUCUGGAACACUU